rnacentral:rRNA from 1 species
AAAAGCUCAAAUUUGAAAUCUGGCUCUUUCAGGKUCCGAGAGUUGUAAUUUGUAGAAGNNAUGCUUUGGGUGUGGUUCUNGUUUAAGUUCUUUGGAAUAUUACAUCAUAGAGGGUGAGAAUCCCGUAUGUGACCAGUCGCCGCGCCCGUGUAAAGCUCUUUCAACGAGUCGAGUUGUUUGGGAAUGCAGCUCAAAAUGGGAGGUAUAUUUCUUCUAAAGCUAAAUAUUGGCCAGAGACCGAUAGCGCACAAGUAGAGUGAUCGAAAGAUGAAAAGCACUUUGGAAAGAGAGUUAAACAGUACGUGAAAUUGUUGAAAGGGAAGCGCUUGCAACCAGACUUGCACGCAGUUGAUCAUCCGGUGUUCUCACCGGGGCACUCUGCUGCGUUCAGGCCAGCAUCGUUUUUGGUGGUUGGAUAAAGGCCUUGGGAAUGUAGCUUCUUUCGGGGAGUGUUAUAGCCCUCGGUGCAAUGCAGCCUACCGGGAACGAGGACCGCGCUUCGGCUANGAUGCUGGCGUAAUGGGUUGUAAGCGGCCCGU